rnacentral:rRNA from 1 species
GACGAACGCUGGCGGCGUGCUUAACACAUGCAAGUCGAACGGAAAGGCCCUGCUUGCAGGGUACUCGAGUGGCGAACGGGUGAGUAACACGUUGGUGAUCUGCCCUGCACUUCGGGUUAAGCCUGGGAAACUGGGUCUAAUACCGGAUAGGAGCCAUUUUUAGUGUGAUGGUUGGAAAGUUUUUUCGGUGUAGGAUGAGCUCGCGGCCUAUCAGCUUGUUGGUGGGGUAAUGGCCUACCAAGGCGGCGACGGGUAGCCGGCCUGAGAGGGUGGACGGCCAAAUUGGGACUGAGAGACGGCCCAGACUCCUACGGGAGGCAGAAGUGGGGAAUAUUGAAAAAUGGGAGCAAGCCUGAUGCAGCGAGGCGGGGUGGGGGAUGACGGCCUUAGGGUUGUAAACUACAUUCGCUAGGGACGAAGCUUUUUGUGACGGUACCUAGAUAAGAAGCACCGGCUAACUACGUG